rnacentral:misc_RNA from 1 species
GAUGAAGAACGUAGCGAAAUGCGAUAAGUAAUGUGAAUUGCAGAAUUCAGUGAAUCAUCGAAUCUUUGAACGCACCUUGCGCCCUUUGGCUAUUCCGAAGGGCAUGCCUGUUUGAGUAUCAUGAACACCUCAACUCUCAUGGUUUGCCAUGAUGAGCUUGGACUUUGGGGGUCUUGCCGGCCUAUGGGUCGGCUCCUCUCAAAUUAAUCAGCUUGCCAGUGUUUGGUGGCAUCACAGGUGUGAUAACUAUCUACGCUUGUGUUUUCCAUCAGGUAACCUUCAGUGAUGGAGGUUCGCUGGGGCUCAUAAAUGUCUCUCCUCAGUGAGGACAGCUUUUUUGAACGUUUGAUCUCAAAUCAGGUAGGACUACCCGCUGAACUUAAGCAUAUCAAUAAGCGGAGGA